UUUCAUGGAGGAGACUUGGGAGGAGAUUUGGGGGGUUCUUAUCUGACUGACACCCUGAGUUAUUUUCUGGUCUCUUUUCUGUCACUUUUAUUUUACAAGGGCAGUUAGCUGCAGUGGAAAUGAUUAUCCCGGAGUGGUCAGACUUUCUCACAGUGGCUGUUUGUGCUCGGUUCCCAUCCUCAAGGAUUGAGGAACCCCAAAUCAGAGCAAUAUCAUUUUCUGACCGAGUAUAUUCUGAGUUUCUCUGAGAAGCACCUCUGAAGGUUCUGAUAUUGGCCAGUGCUUGAAGCAACAUACUGGAGUUGAUUUCCAACAGGGAAGGCAGCCAUUGCUCUAACAUGUAUAACCCAUAAGUGUCUGGGUACAUGCAUCAUGAGCCAGUACAGACUUGCAGCACUACCAGCAAAUGAACUAUUAAAUUUUAAUCUGCUGUAUUUCUUUUAAUGAUGAUUGAAUCCUGUGAAGCCUGAGUGUGCAGUUCCCUCAUCAUCUCUUCUCUUCAGAUUGCUGGCCCUCCCCAUCCCAAGUACCCAAGCACCUUCAGUGAUGUUUCUCUUGCAGCAGUUUUACUGUCUGGUGUCUGUCCUGCUGCUUUUCAUUCCAUUCCUAACAAAGAUUCUAAUGUAAUGGUAGUGAACAUGUUUCCCUACACUUAAAGGAGCAGCUACAAUUAGUGAGCACAGAGCUGCAGUAGAAACAAGUGCAGAGGCACAGCAAACAGGGCAAAAACCAUCAUCGGAAAGAGCAUUUCAGAAAAAACACAUGGACAUUAUUUUUAUUUAGAGGAAUUAAAAAAAAUAUGAAUAUUGACAUUGCAUUUAAAAAACCUUGGAAGAUUGUACAUUGUCCAACCUCGCUGAAAAUCCAACAGCAUUGAGCUGGAAAUCUCAGAAGUAUGUCUAUCAGAGCUUUGCUCAGUAGAUAUCAUCACGAACAUUUCAAACCAAAGACGUUUAAAAAAAAAAAGUCAGAAUGCCUGAACCUGAAAGUGCUCUACACCAAA